GAGCACACCGUCCAAGCAGCACUUCCAAGUAUGACAAUGUCCGCUCUACACCAAGGUACGUGGGCACUCGUGCAAAUAUCUAACAUCUUCACCGACUAGGACUAAGUUUAGCUCUCCAUAUGGUGCCCAUUUUUUUACGGGUAAGGCAAGAGCUCUGCCAAUUCAUUAAAGUUGAGGGGAAACUGUAAAGAAGGCAUAAAAAGAAGAAGGAAAAGCACCACAAAAUAAGUGGAGGUAUGGUUGUUUUUGCCAGAAAAAACCCGUAGUUUUUGCUAGAGAAAAGAAAUUGAUGUGCAUGCACUGAUUAUAUUUGCUUCAUGGCGCAAUAUGUUUAUGCUACUGUUAAAAUUGUGUUUUUAUUGUUUAUUUUGUGUUAUAAAACACA